rnacentral:sRNA from 1 species
UAGGAGGAUGCUAUCAUGAGCGAAGCGAGUGAUUCCGGAUGCAUCCGACGACCUGCCGCCGAGCAAAGCGAUGGGGCGUUA